GGCAUGUCCAUAACUCACUGGGAAACUCCAUAGCGGUAUCCGCAUAGCCCCUCACAGGGUCCUCGCGGUUUGGCCCAUAGGUCCGUCUAUUGCACAUUAAUUGGAAACGAAGCUCUUUUGUGGAUCUCCUGCACUUAUCCGCCCCUUUGGAGCCAGAGUAAAGGAGACACCUUGAAAUUUCCUGGAAGUUCUCUCUGUGGGUCAAAGAGGCGGGGGUGUCCUCCAGGGGCUACAGGAGGCUUUUCCAUCAGAGUGGACAUAAAAGUUUUUGGCUUGCAGCCAGCUAGGUCUACUCCACUGGCGCGACACAAGACAGGAAGCUGACAUAAAAGAAUGGGGGGACUGGCUGUGAGGGACGCAGGAGACCAAGGCAGGAGCCAGGUAUGCAGAAUACCAUCUCUGAACGCACAACACAUCGAAACUUGAAGCAGAUGGGCUACAGC